AGAAUCAACGCUGGCGGCGUGCCUAACACAUGCAAGUCGAACGAGAAAGUGGAGCAAUCCAUGAGUAAAGUGGCGCACGGGUGAGUAACACGUGACUAACCUACCCUUGAGUGGGGGAUAACCUAGAGAAAUCUGGGCUAAUACCGCAUAAUACCUUCGGGUCAAAGGAGCAAUUCGCUUAAGGAGGGGGUCGCGGCCGAUUAGUUAGUUGGCGGGUAAUGGCCCACCAAGACUGUGAUCGGUAU
rnacentral:rRNA from 1 species